AAGCUGCAUAACGUUCUUGAAUGCAGGCAAACUGACACUGAGAAGGACAAAGAAAAGUUUAAUUUCUGCACCAUGAAGAUGAUGACUGGGUUUCUGCAUGUGUGUGUCAUGAUGACUUUCACACACAGUCUCUCUGUUCCAGAGGAAACAACUGUACCAGGUGAAUAUAAAUGUUGCCUUUUAGUGGGAAUAUACUCUAUUUUGAUCCACUAGUAAAUAAUUAAAGCGAUUAAUCUACAAUACUAACUGCAACCAAAAACAUCAACUAAUGCAGAUGCAGACUGUUUGGGAAC